CAGUCACUGAAGAGAAAGUUUAUUCAUGCAGUAGCCAAACAUGGAGGUGGAAUAGCAAGUCUGAAGUCCAUUUUACACAGGAUUAAGAAUGGUGCCAUUAUGCCAUGGAAACCCAGGUGUUUAUGAGCAGAAGAGAGGAUGCCCAAACCAGUGAUGGAGUGUGUGAUAUGUGAAGACGGAAAGUUCCUUUGAAAGAGACGUAAUAACACCAAGCUAAUAUAAUUCAUGAAGUGGAGGUGGAGGUUACCAAUAUGCACCAUGAUGCUCUCUCAUGUUUCUGGGCAACAACAGUGAACUGGAGCUACCAGCCAGCCAUGCUUAAACAACCAAUAAUCCACAGUGUGCUUUGUUGCUAAGCUGUGAUGUUCAGUAAGUUAGGUGUAUUAAAUGCAUUUUUGGUUUAGUGA